GGAUCCAGACUUUGAUCAUGGCUCAGGAUGAACGCUAGCUACAGGCUUAACACAUGCAAGUCGAGGGGCAGCGGGAUUGAAGCUUGCUUCAAUUGCCGGCGACCGGCGCACGGGUGAGUAACGCGUAUCCAACCUUCCGUACACUCAGGGAUAGCCUUUCGAAAGAAAGAUUAAUACCUGAUGGUAUGAUGAGAUUGCAUGAUAGCAUCAUUAAAGAUUUAUCGGUGUACGAUGGGGAUGCGUUCCAUUAGGUAGUAGGCGGGGUAACGGCCCACCUAGCCAACGAUGGAUAGGGGUUCUGAGAGGAAGGUCCCCCACAUUGGAACUGAGACACGGUCCAAACUCCUACGGGAGGCAGCAGUGAGGAAUAUUGGUCAAUGGACGAGAGUCUGAACCAGCCAAGUAGCGUGAAGGAUGAAGGUCCUACGGAUUGUAAACUUCUUUUAUAAGGGAAUAAACCCUCCCACGUGUGGGAGCUUGUAUGUACCUUAUGAAUAAGCAUCGGCUAACUCCGUGCCAGCAGCCGCGGUAAUACGGAGGAUGCGAGCGUUAUCCGGAUUUAUUGGGUUUAAAGGGAGCGCAGACGGGUCGUUAAGUCAGCUGUGAAAGUUUGGGGCUCAACCUUAAAAUUGCAGUUGAUACUGGCGUCCUUGAGUGCGGUUGAGGUGUGCGGAAUUCGUGGUGUAGCGGUGAAAUGCUUAGAUAUCACGAAGAACUCCGAUUGCGAAGGCAGCACACUAAUCCGUAACUGACGUUCAUGCUCGAAAGUGUGGGUAUCAAACAGGAUUAGAUACCCUGGUAGUCCACACGGUAAACGAUGGAUACUCGCUGUUGGCGAUAUACUGUCAGCGGCUUAGCGAAAGCGUUAAGUAUCCCACCUGGGGAGUACGCCGGCAACGGUGCAACUCAAAGGAUUGACGG
rnacentral:rRNA from 1 species